rnacentral:rRNA from 1 species
UACGGAGGGUGCGAGCGUUGUCCGGAAUCACUGGGCGUAAAGGGCGCGUAGGCGGCCUGAUAAGUAGGGGGUGAAAUCCUGCGGCUUAACCGCAGGGCUGCCUUCUAAAACUGUCAGGCUUGAGCACGGUGAGAGGCAGAUGGAAUUCCCGGUGGUACGGCGGUGGAAUGCGUAGAGAUCGGGAAGAACGAAUCAAGUCGGCGAA